CGCUUUUUGAUGUAAAGAGCCCAACUCCACCUCAUUUUAAUGCUAAAACCCCGCCCCACAGUGAACAUGGGAUGUAUGUUACAUGUAUGUUUACCCAUUGUACAGCACUGUACUCCCCUCAUAAAUAUGUAUAGUUUCCCCCAAACCUGAUGAAUAUGUAUGACUCUAUUGUGUAACCCAGACCCUAUGAGGCAUAAAAGCCAACUUCUCUUUUCCUUCUUUGGAGAGAGAGCACCUUCGGCUCAUGCCAGAGACCGUCUCUUCCCAGGUUGGGAAGUGACAUCACCAAUAAAACUCUUCUUUCUACUUUUUAGCCCUCCUGGUAGUCCUUUGAAGGACAGGGCAGAAAGAGAGACCCUUGGCCACGGAUCAAGGCAGACCUAAACAGAACGGCAGGGGAUUCCCAUCACUAUUACAGAAUUUUAGCCCCAUGAAGGUCAAGAAUGACACUGCUGUAAGCUGGGGAGAGGAGUACUAUAUUCCCUUCCCCAUGGCUUCCGUAGGCACAAUUGGAAACUUUCAACCUAGUUUUUUGUUUGUUUGUUGUUUGUUUGUUUUGAGAUGGAGUCUUGCUCUGUUGCCCAGACUGGAGUGCAGUGGCACGAUCGCGGCUCACUGCAACCUCUGCCUCCCAGGUUCAAGAGAUUCUCCUGCCUCAGCCUCCCAAGUAACUGGGAUUACAGGUGCCCACCACCACACCUGGCUAAUUUUUGUAUUUUUAGUAGAAACGGGGUUUCACCAUGUUGGCUUGGCUGGUCUCGAACUCCUGACCUCAAGUGAUCCUCCUGCCUCAGUCUCCCAAAAUGCUGGGAUUACAGGUGUGAACCAUCACUUACGGCUGUCUCUGUAAUUCUAAUGGCUAAAGUUGUCAUACGAGUGUCUGCAUAGAACUUCUAUGCUUAUGUCGUCCUGGGUCCCAGGACCGUGGCUCUUUUCUGCUUUCAUCCCGAAACUCAUUACCUCAUUCUUGCUUCUCCAAUAAGAGCCACUCCUGGAGCAUGUGCACCUGGGGAACAGAAAGAGCUCCCCGAGUCCUCCCGCACUUCAGGGUCGACUCACUGGACUGGAUUUCCUAGGACUUAUCCUUGCCUGAAUGGUGCUGGAUUGCUCUACCCUUUUGCAAGGUUGUAGGCUGGGGGCCUAACCCCUGCUCGCUGCCCUGGUCAGCAGCUUGGCCUGAUCUUGGCCCUCCCUCUCUUCCUGCUUGCCUGGUGUUACAGCCCGAUUUUUUUGUCUGUUUGCUUUUGUUUUGUUUUGUUUUGAGACAGAGUCUCGCUCUCUCUCCCAGGCUGGAGUGCAGUGGCACGAUCUCAGCUCACUGCAGCCUCCGCCUCCCAGGUUCAAGCGAUUCUCCUGCCUCAGCCUCUCAAGUACCUAAAUUAUUUUUAACAUCUUCUCUUCCCAGAACUAACGCUUACUGUGUAUUCUACGUUCAAAACAUAUUUACAACAGUUAUUUAAACUGAAUCCUGUGUUUUAGUGAUUUCGGUGCUUGCUGUCAUUUUCAUGCUGCCCAGGAGCAGAUCAUGCAUGACAACUCCUUUUACCUUCAAAACUGUCAUCGCUUGUCCAUCUCGUGCCCUAUUAAAUGCUGUGAAAGACAAGCCAAGGUCAGUGGAGCCCCCAAAUGGCAUCAACAAAAGGAAUAUAUAACUGCUCCAAAUAAAAGUGUACAAGCCAGAGCACAAAGGCUCCCCCGAAAAAGAAGUCAUUCCUGAAUAAUAUGAAUGUAUGGCACAAAACUACCAAAAUAUAAGAAAAAUGAACCACACUGAAGAAGAAUGAGCAGAUACUACAAACACAUUUGGCUCCUAAAAAACUGCAUAUAAAGGAAUGAUAAGAAAGAAAACGUGAGAUAGAUAGAUGUAAAAUUACUGAAGUGUUAACAGUUUACAAAGAAAGCUUGAAGAAGAACAGAUCUAUAUGAAAAAGGAAGAGGCAGAUUUGAAAAGGAGCUAAUAGGACUUCCUAGAAAUGCAAGAAAGAAAAAAAACCACAAGCAUCUAAAACUCAGUGGUUAGCUUAAACAUGGGAUCAAAAAAAAAUGUUUAACUGUAGCAAGAAUUGGUGAACUGGAAGAGAGAUUUGGGGAAAUCAUCGGAAUGUACCUAUAAAACAGAUAGAUGAAAAAUAUGAAAGAGAAAGAGUGAUAGAGGAUGGCAUAAAAGAAAUGACAGCUAACAAACAUUAACAAACAUUUGUAACCACCCAGUGGGUUACAAAUUCUAGGCACCUUGCCCACUGCCUAGACAGAGUCAAUUUAUCAAGACAGGGGAAUUGCAAUGGAGAAAGAGUAAUACACACAGAGCUGGCCAUGCAGGAGAACCAGAAUUUUAUUAUUACUCAAAUCAGUCUCCCCAAGCAUUCAAGGAUCAAAGUUUUUAAAGAUAAUUUGGCAGGUAGGGGCUUGGGAAGUGGGCAGUGCUGAUAGAUCAAGUAGGAGAUGGAAUCAUAGGGGGUUGAAGUGAGUUUUUCUUGCUGUCUUCUGUUCCUGUGUGGGAUUGCAGAACUGGUUGAGCCAGAUUACCUGUCUGGGUAGUGUCACCUGAUCCAUCCAGUGCAGGGUCUGUACAAUAUCUCAAGCACUGACCUUAGGUUUUAUAAUAGUGAUGUUAUUCCCAGCAAUAAUUUGGGGAGGUUCAGAUUCUUGGAGGCAGGGGAUGCCACAUGGCCCCUAAACUGUAAUUUCUAAUCUUGUAGCUAAUUUGUUAGUCCUGCAAAGGCAGUCUGGUCCCCAGGCAAGAAGGGAUUUUUUGAGAAAGGGCUAUUAUCAAUUUUUUUCAGAGUUUAAACUAUAAAUUUCUUCCCAAGGCUAGUUCAGCCUAUGCCUAGGAAUGAACAAAGAGAGUUUAGAGGUUGGAAGCAAGAUGGGGUCGGUUAGGUCUGAUCUCUUUCACUGUCAUAAUUUCCUCAGUUAUGAUUUUUGCAAAGGUGAUUUGGAGUUCUAGAAGGCAAAAACAAGAAGUGGAAGGCAACAUUAAAAAGAUUUACAAUUGAAAAUGUUCUAGAAUUGAGCCAAGACAUGCGGGGGUUCAGUGUAUAUUGCUCAGGUGAUGGGUGAACCAAAAUCUCACAAAUCACCACUAAAGAACUUACUAAUGCAACAAAAUACCACCUGUACCCCAAUAACCUAUGGAAAUAAAAAUUUUAUUUUAUUUUUCCAUAAGUUAUUGGGGUACAGGUGGUAUUUGGUUAUAUAAGUAAGUUUUUUAAUGGUGAUUUGUGAGACUGUAGUCCACUCAUCACCUGAGCGGUAUACACUGCACCAUAUUUGUUGUCUUUUAUCUCUUACCCACUCCCACUCUUCUCCCCAAGUCCCCGAAGUCCAUUGUAUCAUCCUUAUGCCUUUGCGUCCUCAGAUCUUAGCUCCCAUAUAUCAGUGAGAACACAAGACAAAACAAGGCUCGUCAACACCCCCCAAAAAUCACACUAGUUCACCAGCUAUGGAUCCAAACUGAGAAUAAAUCCUCAAUUUACCUGAAGAAGAAUUCAGGAGGUUAGUUAUUAAGCUAAUCAGAGAGGGACCAGAGAAAGGCAAAGCUCAAUGCAAGGAAAUCCAAAAAAUGGUACAGAAGUGAAGGGUGAAAUAGUCAAGGAAAUAGAUAGCUUAAAGAAAAAACAAUCAAAAAUUCAGGCAACUCUGGACACACUUUUAGCAAUGUGAAAUGCCCUGGAAAGUCUCAGCAAUAGAAUUGAACAAGUAGAAGAAAUUCAGAGCUCGAAGAUAAGGUCUUCAAAUUAACCCAAUCCAACAAAGACAAAGAAAAAAGAACAAGAAAACAGGAACCAAGCUUCCAAGAAGUUUGGGAUUAUGUUAAAAGACCAAACCUAAGAAUAAUUGGUGUUCCUGAGGAAGACAAUUCUAAAAGCUUGGAAAACAUAUUUGGGGAAUAAUAGAGGAAAUUUUCCCCAGCCUUGCUAGACACCUAGACAUCCAAAUACGAGAAGCAUGAAGAACACCUGGGAAAUUCAUCUCAAAAAGAUCUUCGCCUAGGCACGUUGUCAUUAAGUUAAAAAAAAAUUUUUAAAGAAAAAUCACAAAUCCCAACAUCCAGAUAGAGUUAAACAAAAAUCAAAUGCAUCUAAAAAAGAAAAAAAAACUAAAAGUGAUUUAAAAGGAAAACUAUACUGAAUUAUAAAUAGUUCAGUCUUCUCAUUAACAUAUACCAGAAAACCAUGGAAUAGUAGUUUGAAAAUGCUGAGGGAUUCGAGACCAGCGUGGCCGCAAUGUUGAAACCCCAUCUCUACUAAAAAUACAAAAAUUAGCCAGGCGUGGUGGUGCUCGCCUGUAAUCCCAGCUAUUUGGGAGGCUGAGGGAGGAUAAUUGCUUGAACCCAGGAGGCAGAGAUUGCAGUGAGCCAAGAUCACGCCAUUGCAUUCCAGCCUGGGUGACAAGAGUGAGACCCUGCCUCAAAAACAAAAAAAAAGAAAAAGAAAAGAGAAUGCUGAGGGAAAAAUAACUGUUGGCCUAGAAGUCUGCAUCCAGAUGAACUAUUUUUAACAAUGAAGAGAACAGAAAGACGUUUACCAAUAGAAUCAGAUUUAUAUAUAUAUAUGAUAUAUAUAUAUAUACACAUACAUAUAUAUAUGAUAUAUAUAUACACAUACAUAUAUAUAUGAUAUAUAUAUAUACACAUACAUAUAUAUAUACAAAAUAUAUAUAUAUAUUUUGAGACAGAGUUUUACUCUUGUUGCCCAGGUUGGAGUGCAAUAGCACAGUCUCAGCUCACUGCAACUGCUGCCUCCUGGGUUCAAACAAUUCUCGUGCCUCAGCCCCCCAAGUAGCUGGGACUACAGGUGCCCACCACCACGCCCAGCUAAUUUUUGUAUUUUUAGUAGAAACAGGGUUUCACCAUGUUGGCCAGGCUGGUAUCAAACUCCUGACCUCAGGCGAUCCACCCACCUCGGCCUCCCAAAAUGCUGGAAUUACAGGUGUGAGCCACCACGCCCAGCCAAGAUCCCAUACCCUCAUCGAAAGAACUACAAAAAAAUGUACUUUAGUAAAAAUGAAAUUGAACUCAGAAGGAAGGUAUGAGGUGAAAGAAGAAAUAAUAAGUUUUUCCCCAUACACACACACACACGAAGGUAGAUAUGUUGAUGUCUAAGUAUUUACAGUAAUAAAAAAUAAUAAUGUUU
rnacentral:lncRNA from 10 species